ensembl:lncRNA
AUGUUUUGCCUUUUCUUUUGCUCAUUGUUCCCUAAAGCCACAUAUUUGUUUUAUGAUUUUCCACCUUCACAUGCCAUUUCUUCUUAUUCUCCCCAGAUGCCUCAUUGCUAUGUCUCUCCCUUUUUUCUCCAGCAUCUUACUUGCUGUUGGAAGUCUGGCUUGACCCAAUGUGAGGCCCUCUUCUCCAUUCCAGAUCCAGGACACCAUUCCCUGAAGGAGCCAUCAGGGGCCUGUGGGAUAGAGGCCAUUGCUGGGGAUGCCCUGAUAGAGGUCCUUCAACAAAUAACAAGUAAGAGGCUGCAGUUUCUGCAACGAGAGAUGAUGGGGCUGAAAUGUCAGCAGGACAGACCAGGAUGGAAGAUCAAUCACGGAGCGAAUCACUGGCAUCCUCUCAGGGCUUCAAACCUAAGACAUGAUCUUGAUUUCAGCUUUCACUAG